GAUGAACGCUGGCGGCGUGCCUAAUACAUGCAAGUCGAGCGAACGGACGAGAAGCUUGCGUCUCUGAUGUUAGCGGCGGAGGGGUGAAUAACACGUGUAUAACCUACCUAUCUGACUGGGAUAACCUCGAGAAACCGGAUCUAAUACCGUAUAAGAUCUUGAACCGCAGGGGUCGAUAGUGAGAUACGGUGUUGCGGUCACGUAUAGAGGCAUCUCGGCUGCAUUGGGUAGUUGUUAAGGUCACGGCUUACCAAGGCAACGAUGCAUAGCCGACCUGUGAGGGUGAUCGGCCACCCUGGAAGUGAGCCACGGUCAUGACUCCUACGGGAGGCACCAGUAGGGAAUGUUACGCAAUGGGCGAAAGCCUUACGGAGCAACGCCGCGUGAGUGAUGACGGUGUUCGGAUCGUAAAACUCUGUUAUUAGGGAAGAACAUAUGUGUAAGUAACUGUGCACAUAUUGACGGUACCUAAUCAGAAAGCCCCGGCUAACUACGUG
rnacentral:rRNA from 1 species